rnacentral:lncRNA from 1 species
CCACUUGAUUUCCUCAUUUUAUAUCAUGGAGUUCCUAUACAUGCCAAGGUUAGGAAGCGGUACAUCGAAGAUGAGUUGGAUCUUGUGCUCCACUACUUGACUCGACGGUAACCCAUGGGCCUCCUCAAAAAGCCCCAAGUGGUUGUCAAAGAGUUUGGCCAUCUCAUCCUCCUAUUCCCUGCAAGACAAUAUGAAUACAGGAAGGCCCCCAAUAAUAGGGACCACU